rnacentral:rRNA from 1 species
UACGUAGGGGGCCAGCGUUGUCCGGAAUCAUUGGGCGUAAAGAGCGUGUAGGCGGUUUGUCGCGUCUGCUGUGAAAUCUCAAGGCUCAACCUUGAGCUUGCAGUGGGUACGGGCAGACUAGAGUGUGGUAGGGGAGACUGGAAUUCCUGGUGUAGCGGUGAAAUGCGCAGAUAUCAGGAGGAACACCGAUGGCGAAGGCAGGUCUCUGGGCCACUACUGACGCUGAGAAGCGAAAGCAUGGGGAGCGAACAGG